rnacentral:misc_RNA from 1 species
GAUGAAGAACGCAGCGAAAUGCGAUACUUGGUGUGAAUUGCAGAAUCCCGUGAACCAUCGAGUCUUUGAACGCAAGUUGCGCCUCAAGCCAUUAGGUUGAGGGCACGUCUGCCUGGGCGUCACAUAUCGUUGCCUGAUGCCAGUUUCCUCGUGAUGGGUGACUGUGCAGGGCGAAUGAUGGCUUCCCGUGAGCAUUGUUGCCUCAUGGUUGGUUGAAAAUUGUGUCCUUGGUAGUGAGCGCCGUGAUAGAUGGUGGUUGAGUGACGAACGAGACCCAAUCAUGUGAGACCCCUACCGAAUUUGGCCUUCAUGACCCACAUGCGUCUUUGGAACGCUCAUGACGAGACCUCAGGUCAGGCGGGGCUACCCGCUGAGUUUAAGCAUAUCAAUAAGCGGAGGA